GAUGAACGCUGGCGGCGUGCUUAACACAUGCAAGUCGAACGAUGAAGCCCAGCUUGCUGGGUGGAUUAGUGGCGAACGGGUGAGUAACACGUGAGUAACCUGCCCUUAACUCUGGGAUAAGCCUGGGAAACUGGGUCUAAUACCGGAUAGGAGCGUCCACCGCAUGGUGGGUGUUGGAAAGAUUUAUCGGUUUUGGAUGGACUCGCGGCCUAUCAGCUUGUUGGUGAGGUAAUGGCUCACCAAGGCGACGACGGGUAGCCGGCCUGAGAGGGUGACCGGCCACACUGGGACUGAGACACGGCCCAGACUCCUACGGGAGGCAGCAGUGGGGAAUAUUGCACAAUGGGCGCAAGCCUGAUGCAGCGACGCCGCGUGAGGGAUGACGGCCUUCGGGUUGUAAACCUCUUUCAGUAGGGAAGAAGCGAAAGUGACGGUACCUGCAGAAGAAACACCGGCUAACUACGU
rnacentral:rRNA from 1 species